rnacentral:lncRNA from 1 species
AACAUACUCAUGGAUGAAGACAGACUGACACACAGACAAUUGAACAGAGGCACCAAACUCAAGCCAGAUGGAGAGAGGAAAACCAACAGAGUGACAAGGCAGCCACUGACCACAGUGCUUUGGAUGAUGGGGCUCAGAGGUGGACCACCAUUUUGAGACAGAGGAGACCUUGGAGGAGGAGGAGUAAUAUAAGGUGGCACCUGGGCAAUAAUACAUCCAGAGGAAGAAGUCAUUGGUGAUGGAUCAGAAGUCAUGGGUGGAGGCGGCACUUAACUGCAAACCAGCCUGAUGAGAUGCGAAUAAGAAGAACAUGGGGCAGCAGGACACAUGGAAGCCAACAUUAUUGCAAGGAUCAGCAAAACCACAU